UGACGCCCCCAAUCUAGCCCAGGCCUCUUUAUUACAAAUCUUACCCCCCCCCCGCCCCAAAAUAAAUCAUUCUUAAUCUCAAGUAUAUGCGAUUGAAAAAGAACUAGGAGCUUUACAAAUAGUACCGCAAGGGAAAGAUGAAAUAGAAAUUAAACAAAUACUUCAAGCAUGAAACAGCAGAGAUUUCAACUCGUACCUUUUGCAUCAUGGUCUAACUAGUCUAACCAGGCAAAAAGAUUUUUAGUCUGGCCCCCCGAAACUAAGUGAGCUACUCCGAGGCAACCUUAGAGUAUACCCGUCUCUGUGGCAAAAGAGUGGGGUGACCUCCGAGUAGAGGUGAUAUACCUAUCGAACUUAGUGAUAGCUGGUUACUCAAGAAACGAAUUUUAGUUCUUUCUUAAGAGGACUUAGCUCAUUUAUAAUAACAAGCAAACCCAACCUCCUAAGACCUAUUCAAUAAGGGUACAGCCUUAUUGAAAAAGGACACAACCUAAAACCCAGGUUAACGUCUUUAAGACCAAGAACAAGUGGGCCUAAAAGCAGCCACCUUUAAAAUAGCGUCAAAGCUUUCUCUGCCGUCUUCUCCAAUUCUCAUCUCUUUACGGAACCCGGUACUAAUAUUGAGUCUUUCUAUACCCCCUAUAGAAGCGUUUAUGUUAGAACUAGUAACACAGAACUAUUUCUCUCUAUGUAAGUGUAAAUCAGAUCGAAUAAAUCGCUGAUAAUUAUUCAGUAUUGAAGCUAUUGUAACAACCCUGCUAGAAAACCCUACAACUUUACCCUGUUAACCUUACACAAGUACAUUAGAGAAAGAUUAAAAGAUAGGGAAGGAACUCGGCAAAUUUAAGUCUCGCCUGUUUACCAAAAACAUCGCCUCUUGCACUCUAUAUUAGGCAAUGCCUGCCCGGUGACCAUGUGUUCAACGGCCGCGGUAUUCUGACCGCGCGAAGGUAGCGUAAUCACUUGUCUUCUAAAUAAAGACUAGUAUGAACGGCUACACGAAGACUUGACUGUCUCCCCCGUCCAAUCAGUGAAACUGAUCCCCUUGUGCAGAAGCGAGGAUACACCCAUAAGACGAGAAGACCCUAUGGAGCUUAAAACUUAAUAUUAACUAUCCUUUAACCCCCUCUAAGGAGCCAACAAACAAUUUCUUAAACUUAAUAUUAGUUUUAGGUUGGGGCGACCAUGGAGAAAAAAAUAUCCUCCCUGAUGAUUUUCUAACUAAGAGCCACAGCUCUAAGUAUUAAGACACUUAACUCCCAUUGACCCAUUUUAUGAUCAACGAACCAAGUUACCCUAGGGAUAACAGCGCAAUCCAUUUCAAGAGUCCCUAUCGACAAAUGGGUUUACGACCUCGAUGUUGGAUCAGGGCAUCCUAG
rnacentral:rRNA from 1 species